GCCUGAUUGGCUCAGUAGGUUAAGCGUCUGGCUCUUGGUUUUGGCUCAGGCCAUGAUUAAUGGGUCGUGGGAUCAAGUCCCACAUUGGGCU
rnacentral:tRNA from 1 species